GGUGANGAGGCCUUUAUGUAAAAGUUGGACGAUAAGACCCUAUGAAGCUUUAUCUUAAUUGGAGNUUUUUGGCUCUUAUACGAUUUUGAUGGGAGAUCAGUGAAAAUAAGUCUUUCACUAUUAUAUAAAUC
rnacentral:rRNA from 1 species